AUGCUCCUCGGCCGUGAGCACACCAUCCACAAGGUGGCGUUCUCGGUCAGGCCGCCGCGCGCGCGUGGGAGCAGCUACGGCCACAGCGCCGUGGCCCUCCACCGCGCACCUCGGCAGAGGCAGGGGCUGGCCUUGACAUUCACCAGGGCCGGGUGGGACCGGUGGGAAUGGCAGCAACCAGGCUUCUUCCCCGCCGGCGAGGAUGAGCACUUCGACGUCGCCUACUGCCAACGAUCCGGCGUGUACUACGUGGUGACGCCCGACUGGGUGUGGGUCCUGGACAUGAGCGCUCCCGUCCCCACGCUGGAGCCCUUGGUGAGAAUGAGCUGCGGCGUGUCCCUCCGCAAGGUCACCGUCGGGGAACGUAGGCACAUCGUCAUCCUGUCCGACGACGACGACGGUGGCGGGGCGCUCUCGCAGAUGUAUAUGGUGAUAAUCCAGGAAAUGCAGCAGCGGCGCGUCAUUGUGCAAAGGUAUACGGCCGGGGAGCCGUGGAGCGUGGUCACCGACCUGGGCGGCCGCGCCCUGCUCAUCGCCAACCGCGCGCAGUCGGUGUCGGUGCUGCCUACGGCGUCGUCGCUGCCGUGGUUGAAGCGCGACUGCGUCUACUGGAUGACCACCGAUGAGUACGGGUACGAUAGCUGGGAACCAGAACAGGGGGUGGUUCCCGUGUGGCGUUUCCACGUGCCAACAAAUACCACGGACAGAUUCCUACGGUCAAAUCAAGAACAAGCUGGAGCCGACUACCGGAUGCUGGAUUGGCACAACUCCCUUUGGCUUAUGCCUUCUUUGACAUGA
rnacentral:rRNA from 1 species